rnacentral:rRNA from 1 species
GGCCUCAUGGCUGGUACGGGUACGGGGAUUAGGGUUCGAUUCCGGAGAGGGAGCCUGAGAAACGGCUACCACAUCCAAGGAAGGCAGCAGGCGCGCAAAUUACCCAAUCCCGACACGGGGAGGUAGUGACAAUAAAUAACAAUACGGGGCUCUUUCGGGUCUCGUAAUUGGAAUGAGUACAAUUUAAAUCCCUUAACGAGGAACAAUUGGAGGGCAAGUCUGGUGCCAGCAGCCGCGGUAAUUCCAGCUCCAAUAGCGUAUAUUAAAGUUGUUGCAGUUAAAAAGCUCGUAGUUGAAUUUCGGGAUUGACACAUCGGUCGUGCCUUAAGGGGUAUGAACUGGUGUAGUCAAUUUCUCACCUUCUGGAGAACCACGAUGCCCUUAAUUGGGUGUCGCGGGGAACCAGGACCUUUACUUUGAAAAAAUUAGAGUGUUUAAAGCAGGCAUUUUGCUUGAAUACAUUAGCAUGGAAUAAUAAAAUAGGACGGCAUGAUUCUAUUUUGUUGGUUUCUAGGAUCACCGUAAUGAUUAAUAGGGAUAGUUGGGGGCAUUAGUAUUCAAUUGUCAGAGGUGAAAUUCUUGGAUUUAUUGAAGACUAACUACUGCGAAAGCAUUUGCCAAGGAUGUUUUCAUUAAUCAAGAACGAAAGUUAGGGGAUCGAAGACGAUCAGAUACCGUCGUAGUCUUAACCAUAAACUAUGCCGACUAGGAAUCAGACGAUGUUAAUUUUUUAAUGACUCGUUUGGCACCUUACGGGAACCAGU